rnacentral:rRNA from 1 species
CCUACGGGCGGCAGCAGUGAGGAAUAUUGGUCAAUGGACGAGAGUCUGAACCAGCCAAGUAGCGUGAAGGAUGACUGCCCUAUGGGUUGUAAACUUCUUUUAUAUGGGAAUAAAAUGUUCCACGUGUGGGAUUUUGUAGGUACCAUAUGAAUAAGGAUCGGCUAACUCCGUGCCAGCAGCCGCGGUAAUACGGAGGAUCCGAGCGUUAUCCGGAUUUAUUGGGUUUAAAGGGAGCGUAGGUGGAUUGUUAAGUCAGUUGUGAAAGUUUGCGGCUCAACCGUAAAAUUGCAGUUGAAACUGGCAGUCUUGAGUACAGUAGAGGUGGGCGGAAUUCGUGGUGUAGCGGUGAAAUGCUUAGAUAUCACGAAGAACUCCGAUUGCGAAGGCAGUUCACUGGACUGCAACUGACACUGAGGCUCGAAAGUGUGGGUAUCAAACAGGAUUAGAUACCCCUGUAGUC